CCAAUAGCGUAUAUUAAAGUUGUUGCAGUUAAAAAGCUCGUAGUUGAAUUUCGGGAUUGGCGCAUCGGUCGUGCCUUACGGGGUAUGAACUGGUGCAGUCAAUUUCUCACCUUCUGGAGAACCGCGAUGUCCUUAAUUGGGUGCCGCGGGGAACCAGGACCUUUACUUUGAAAAAAUUAGAGUGUUUAAAGCAGGCAUUU
rnacentral:rRNA from 1 species